rnacentral:lncRNA from 1 species
GCUCGGAGCACGUUCCACCGUGGACCUCGCACAUGCAAUCGUUCUAGGGGACGAGGCAGCAGAUCCAAGCCCUUCCAUUCCCUGGCUCUUCUUCAGGGGACCCCGUUUCACGUCUCAGCUGAGGUGGAGCCUGCCUCCGUCCUUCCCUACGCAGGAUGCUGAGAGGCCCUCACACUGAACUACCUUCUGAAGGUUGGGUGCUGGUCUAAAAGUAAGUUCUGCGGGACCCCAGGAGACGGAUCGGUGAGUGUCGGAAGCCUCAUUUUAGACCUCCCUCACUGUCACGGCAAUGGCGUCCCCCCUCCGCUCCAGAAAGCUACUAGAGGAUGUGCUCUAGCAAAAUGAGGAAGUAAGUCAGAAAAGAAGACCUGGGAUUCGGGAAAAAGAGAUCCAACACAGAAAAGAGAUCAAGUGGAGAAAGGAAGCUCUAGCAGAAAAGCUGAGGCCAAGCCCAAGGGGUACCCAGUCCAUAGUAGAGGAGGAGGCUAGAGGGCUCAAGGAGAAGCUCUGGUAAAACAAUCGUGUUGAAAAAAAGAGGCUUUGACACUUUAUCUGUGUAACCAUGUAGAAACCUGACUGAGAGGCUGUUGAAGGUCAAAGAAACCACGUGAAUGAAAGAAAGAAUAAAAGACUUAGCACCUCCAG